ACUUCCUGAGCCGGAACGAAAAGUUUUAUCGGAAUGCGUGUUCUGGUGAACUUUUGGCUUACGGUUGUGAUGUUGUGUUGUUGUGUUUGCAAUUGGUCUGCGAUUCAGACCAU
rnacentral:misc_RNA from 3 species